GGAAAGAAAAGAACACAAACCCUUGGUGGGAAAAUUGAAGAAAAAGUGUGGGAUUUCAAGGGAUUAAUCUAAUAAAGGUAAAAUUUUAUGAUUUUCUCUUGUGAUUUACACUACCAGUGCUUUCUUUUUUGUUUUCCAUGCUUAGAACUCAAGUUUGCAUGAUGAACCCAUGCUGGCCAAAUUUGAGAGGAGAGGUUUUAAGCAUUGAUUUGGCUAGAUUUCAAGCUAAUUAAGUAUUUUUGGUUGUUUGGUAAUGGAAAGUAUGAAAAUCUAGCAAGGAAUAACUUUGUUCUUCACAAACCCAUAAGAGACCAAAUUUUCUAGGGAGGAUAUUGAGGCUAAAAUUGAUGAUAUUUCAUGAUAUAUUGGCGAUAUUUAAUGAUGGAUGAGGCUAGAAAUUUAAUGAGAAAUUUUGGCAUGAAAAUCUAAAUUUUUACCUAAUAUAUAGACAUGUGCGAUUUAUGGUCCGGAUUGAUAAAUUGAAUCAUAUUCAUAGUCAUUGAGGUAUUUUAACUAUAAUUGGAGUGUAGAAAGUGAAAGAAAUCAAUUUGGAGUUAAAUUGGAGGUUUUAGCCAAUUACACCGAGAAUAGUGCGAAUUAGGUCGAAUACCGUAUUUAAACGGCUAUUCGGACAUUUUGCAUCACAUUUCAUGCAUUCAUAUAGAUUUAUAGAGCUUGAAAUAGUUUAUGAUAAAUUAACAGGAUUUAUUGAAAUUUGUGUCACAUAUGAUGUAUAGGUUGUGAGCCCUCUAACAAGGGUAAAGAGAUUGUGCUCGAAGACUGGGAAUAGGAGUAUAUCGAACUCCUAGUAUUGUGAGUAACCUUACUAUCGUCUUAAUUAUCUAAAGUGGUUUUUAUGUGAUUUUGUGAAUUUCAUGGAAAAUGAAUUAAAUGAUUAAUUUUUCGAUUUGAUAAGCCAAAUGUGAUUUAAUGAAAUGAUUUCAUAAAAUUGUUUUAAAAUUGAAUAAUGGCUUUGAAAAUAGAGUAAUUGGAGACCAUUUGAUGUAUUGUGAAUUUAUGGUUCUAAUUGAUUAGCUUAUGACAAUAUUGGUAUGAAUGGCUGAAUUGGUAUUUGUGUUGAAAUAUAUAUGAACUGUGUAAUUAGCCUUGAAAGGCUGUGAAUUACAAUAAUUGCCAUGUCAUGCUGUUAAAUUUUAUUGAUGGGUGGGAUAAUUGUUAGCUAACUGCAGUGAGCGGGUUCUGUGGACCAACCUACUAGAGGGGCACGGUAACCCCGUUAUAUUAUUACCUCAGUAUGAGAGGCGCGGGUGGAUAACUCCUGAGGUUAACACUUUUAGAGUUCACUUCACGUCAAACCACCACAUGAGGGGGAACUCAGUCAACGCCAAGGAACGGCUAUGUUUUCAAAAUAAAAACAUAAUUUAUGCGUACAUGACUUUUUAACAGCCUUGGCGGACUCGGUUGAGAUAGCCCUCAAUCAAGGUAUCCCUGAUAAUUUGGUAUGAGAAUAAAUUUUGGCACGAGCCAAAGUUUUAAGAAAUUCAUAAGCCAUGUUGAUUACUUGAUUUAUAAGAAUUGAUUUUAUUUGGUUGAAACAAGUUGAAAGGUGAUGAAUUUCAGUAUGUUAAAUGUUUUAUCUUUCUCCAUUUACUCAACUUUAAAUGGUUUAGAUGGUAUCUAUUUACUCACUGGAACUUUAUAAUCUCAUCACCCUCUUUUUCAACCAUUUCAAGCCCGAGGUAGCCUGCGGAUAGUAGAUAUCGUCAAGGAUUAUAGUCGACUUUACUACUCCAAAAACUGUAAGUUUACUACCUUUGUGCACUUUUGUUCAUUGUGGGCCCAUGAGUCACUGUAAUGUAAAUUUUAUAUCUCAAUUCUCUGUAUUAUAGUAUGUAUGAAUUUAUUUAGCUUUUACAUUACAAAAAUUAUUUACCGAUGACUCUAUAAAUAUUGUUUUAUAAGAAAUUAGAAUAUUUUAUUCAAAUAGUUGGAAUAUCAUUUUUAAUAAAUGUUUUAGACACCCAAAUUUAUUUUAAAUCAUGAAAUAUGUGUUUUCGACUAAUCUACUACAUCUUUAGUCAGGUUCGAAAAAUUUCGAGGAAAAAUGAUGAAAACGCCCCUGUGAGGUGAAAAUUAUUUUUCCACGAUUUUGAAAGGGAAAAAUCUUAAAAUUCUUUAAAAAUGAGGCUUGGCGAUGAUUACUCAUAGGGGAGAUGAAAAAAAUGGUACUAAAGCCUUGCGGGGUUCCGGUUGGCACUCCGGGUAACGAAUGUC
rnacentral:lncRNA from 1 species